AUUGCCUUUCCCGCAAGGGACUAGAGUCGAGGUGCUGCAUGGCUGUCGUCAGCUCGUGUCGUGAGAUGUUGGGUUAAGUCCCGCAACGAGCGCAACCCUUGUCCUGUGUUGCCAUUCCGCAAGGAGGCACUCUCAGGAGACCGCCAGCGAUAAGUUGGAGGAAGGUGGGGAUGACGUCAAGUCAUCAUGGCCUUUAUGUCCAGGGCUACACACGUGCUACAAUGGGCGGUACAAAGCGCAGCAAACCCGCGAGGUGGAGCCAAUCCCAGAAAACCGAUCUCAGUCCGGAUCGGAGUCUGCAACUCGACUCCGUGAAGUCGGAAUCGCUAGUAAUCGCGAAUCAGCUAUGUCGCGGUGAAUACGUUCCCGGGCCUUGUACACACCGCCCGUCACACCAUGGGAGUUGGCUGCACCAGAAGCAGGUAGUCUAACCGCAAGGAGGACGCCUACCACGGUGUGGUCAAUGACUGGGGUGAAGUCGUAACAAGGUAACCGUAA
rnacentral:rRNA from 1 species